AUAUUGUGUUGAUACAGCGGCUCGCGUAUGAUCACUAAAGUUAAGCAACGUCGAGCCUAGUAAGUACCUAGAUGGGUGGCCGCUUGGGAAUACCAGGUGCUGUAA